GACGAACGCUGGCGGCGUGCUUAACACAUGCAAGUCGAACGGAAAGGCCCUGCUUGCCGGGUACUCGAGUGGCGAAUGGGUGAGUAACACGUGGGUGAUCUGCCCUGCACUUCGGGAUAAGCCUGGGAAACUGGGUCUAAUACCGGAUAGGAGCCAUUUUUAGUGUGAUGGUUGGAAAGUUUUUUCGGUGUAGGAUGAGCUCGCGGCCUAUCAGCUUGUUGGUGGGGUAAUGGCCUACCAAGGCGGCGACGGGUAGCCGGCCUGAGAGGGUGGACGGCCACAUUGGGACUGAGAUACGGCCCAGACUCCUACGGGAGGCAGCAGUGGGGAAUAUUGCACAAUGGGCGCAAGCCUGAUGCAGCGACGCCGCGUGGGGGAUGACGGCCUUCGGGUUGUAAACUCCUUUCGCUAGGGACGAAGCUUUUUGUGACGGUACCUAGAUAAGAAGCACCGGCUAACUACGUG
rnacentral:rRNA from 1 species